rnacentral:rRNA from 1 species
UGGGGAAUAUUGCACAAUGGGCGCAAGCCUGAUGCAGCCAUGCCGCGUGUAUGAAGAAGGCCUUCGGGUUGUAAAGUACUUUCAGUCGGGAGGAAGGUGGUAAGGUUAAUAACCUUGGCAAUUGACGUUACCCGCAGAAGAAGCACCGGCUAACUCCGUGCCAGCAGCCGCGGUAAUACGGAGGGUGCAAGCGUUAAUCGGAAUUACUGGGCGUAAAGCGCACGCAGGCGGUCUGUCAAGUCGGAUGUGAAAUCCCCGGGCUCAACCUGGGAACUGCAUUCGAAACUGGCAGGCUAGAGUCUUGUAGAGGGGGGUAGAAUUCCAGGUGUAGCGGUGAAAUGCGUAGAGAUCUGGAAGAAUACCGGUGGCGAAGGCGGCCCCCUGGACAAAGACUGACGCUCAGGUGCGAAAGCGUGGGGAGCAAACAGG